rnacentral:tRNA from 1 species
AGCAGUGUGGCUUAGUGGAAAGAGCACGGGCUUGGGAGUCAGAGGUCGUGGGUUCUAAUCCCAGUUCUGCCA